rnacentral:lncRNA from 1 species
CCCUUAUCCCUUGUUUUUCUAUUUUCACAUUUGUUAACUCUGUGCAUCGAAUUCUUUGUUUUUUAUUUUCUUUUUUCAAUUUUGAUUGCUCCUUGAUCCUUUGGCCAAGUCGAAUCUGCUACCCUUUUAUUCUUUUUUUUCUUCUACUGUUACACUCCUGCGCCAUUCGUGGUAUUGAGUAAGGUUUUAAUUUAUUUAUUUCUUUUAUUGGUUAAGCUUUGGGAUUUUUCCUUCUCGUUUUGGGUAUAAGUGAAAUUAAAUUUUAUGGGUGUUCUGUAUAGGUGAAGUUCAUGAGUCGGUGAGGGCUCCGACGACCUGAGGUUGUUUCAAGCUACUAUUCAUUUGAAGGUGAGUGUGUUGUUGUUUUGUGGGAUCGUUCGUUCAAUUGUUGGGUUCGUUGUGUGGCAUUUGUUAUAUCAAUUGUUUGGAUUAGUAAAAUUUUCAAUUGUUAAUUAGAAUUAUUCAUCAAUUUAGGUUUAGGGUUAUUCAUUUUCUAGCGUGUGUUGGAUCUUUGCUAAAGAUGUGUAACAAGAAACUCAAAAGAUGGUGAUUAGAAAAAGCCAAAAUCUGAUAGUCUGAUAAUGUGAAUCGUGACGUAAAAACUUCUAACAUGUAUAAUCUGUUAUGUACCAAUCAUGUUCUAUUUCUGUUAUAUGAGUAUGUAUGUUAUGUAUAUCGAAAAAUAUGUUAUUCACUAUUUAUGUCUGAUUAUGGGGUGGGAUAUGUAUUAUGUGGAAGAAGUGUUCUAUGUGAGGCGAUAUCUCGCCAUUAUUUUGGUAGCAUAGCUGCGAUUAUUCUGAAAGAGUCGUAUGGACGCUAAGCGGUUUGUAGGGCUAGAUGGGUGUUUUAUACCCCACGUAGUGUGUUAGGAUGGUCGGAGCUGGUGUGUAGAGGAUGGGGUAGGAUUAUAUAUAUAUCUGUUUCUGUAUUACUCUAAUCUGAUUUUAAUGCUGUUAUGAAAUAAGUCUGUAUCUGAUCUACCAUGUAACUGAAUUUGAGAUUCUAUUUCUGUAAGUUGCACACUAAGUUAUAAAAACUCAUUCUCUGUUUGUCUAAUAAUUUCAGGUAACCCUCAGGCUUAGGCAGAUCGAUGCGACAAGAGCUCGGUUGUGUCCACGUUAUUGUAAAAUUAUAUUUACUUCAAUUUUUGUUUUGAGAGUUUUGUAUAAUAUGGACUCUCCAGACUUUUGGGGUUGUUUUUAGUUUCAAAUUUUUAUUUUGCAUUUUCUAGCAUGACGAUUAAUAAAA